AUGUUCAGUCUUCCUGUAGCCUCAACCUCACUCCAAUUCCUGAACACAGAGGUUGGGAUUGACUGUUUUGAAGGAGAGGAGGAGAGUGCAUGUCGUUUUGGGAGCUGGAUGGACAAAGGCAUAGAAGUAGGAAUCAGCAUGAAUAUAAGAAUUUCAAACCAAAAUGUUACUGCAGCAAGGAUGUCAGUGACUAAGAGAACUCCACAACUCUCCUUUGGACACAGCGGGACAAAAUUUUAGGCUGCAAAUGCUGUUCUGCCAUCGUCCCACAACCACCCUGUCCAAUUUAACUCCCAACUCAGGGACUUAGGUUCACAUAACCUCCUGACCAACUAACAAUCCUAGGUAGGGCCAACUCUGUGCCCCCGGUCAGCAGGAAGCAGUUGGAAGAUGCGACCUUCACCCACAUACCAAAGAUUUGUCAUUAUUGCUUUGUCACAGGGGGAAUGUGGAGUCCUAUUUAGGGAAAAAGAGUCAGGAUGGCAGGACCAAGAGAAAGCAAAAAGAAAAAGCAGAUAAGCUAUACAUCUGCCUUUUUUCAUACUCCAAGAGACACGGUCCUCCUGAGCAAAUAACUCACAAUCUUCCUGUGUCCAGCUAUCACCAGACCCUCAGCUAAUAGAAAAGUGCAGAUUAGCUCACUGCAACUGUGGGGUUUUCAGACCUGCACAAAGCCCUCUUCAGCACACAGCACAAGCACUAUACUAUAAAAUCCCCAGCAAGCCUUCAUCCCCUGGCUGUCAGCUCCUCUCUUGCUAACCUGCCCAUUCAUUGCUGCCUUGCGAUGUGUUUUCGUCCUUUAAUAAAUCUGCUUUUCUUUACCUACAACUGUCUUAGUAAAUUCUUCUUACCUGCGCACCACUGGCCCCAAAUAGUCACGGCUCACCCAUGGCAAGUAGGGCUAUGCUUCUUCUGAAACCUAUGAGGGAGUCCUUCCUUGCCCCUUUCUAGCUUCUGUGGGUUUGUCAGCAAUCCUUGGUAUUCUUUGGCUUUCAACUGCGUAACUUCAAUCUCUGCCUUAGUCAUUGUGUGGAAUUGUUUUUACAUGGCCUUGUGUGUUUCUGUUUUCAUGUGUCCAUCUUCUUUUAAGGACACCAUUUGAAACUGUGAUAUCUGCAACCUUCUGAAGUACUUGGGGUUAGGAUUUCAACAUAUGUUUUUAGAAGACAAUAAAACCUAGCGCAAAGCCUAAACAAAGUGAGGAGGGUCUCCUUGCACAUGGGCAGCCCAGGAUGAGAAAUCAGAGCUGGAGCGGGGUUGGGGGAGGGCAUCCACACCUGUGGGUGGCAUGGUGCAGGUGUGUUAGAUCCUGGGCAAUGUGAGCAAGGCAUCUAUGUAGGGGAAAGCCUGGGUAGGGGGGUCUGAGUCCAAGCAGGAUGAGGAGAGCAUCUGUGAAAAGUGCGCUGGGUUUUUGAGCCUGAACAGGGUGAGCAAGGCUGUGGUCUACAUGGGGAUGGGAAGUGGGGAGCCCGUAUGGCUUGCCAGAGCCUUAGUGGGGUAAGGAAGGCAUCCACGCAGGAAGGACAACCUAGUUUGGGGUGCUGGAGUCCACCUAAGGGGAGGAGGGUGACUAUGUGUGUGGACAGCCUGGUAUGGGUUAUUAGAGCCAUCAUAGGACAUUGUUGAAAAAAUUGGUGGAACUUAAGUGAAAUCUGAAAACUCUGAUGGAUGAAUUGUGGUUAUGUAAGAAAAUGUCCUAGCGCCCAUUAAAUACUGAAGUAUUUCAGGACUAUGGGGCAUCAAAUUGGCAGCUAGAAAAAAACUCUUUGAAUUGUACCUGUAACUUUUCUGUAAAUUUUUAAAUAAAAAAUUAUUAAAAAUGCUGAAGCAAAUAUGGCAAAAUGGUAUAAUUCCAGAGGCCUGGAUUUUAUGUCCACAGGUGCUUAUUAUGCCAUCAUUUCUA
rnacentral:lncRNA from 1 species